rnacentral:rRNA from 1 species
UACGUAGGGGGCUAGCGUUGUCCGGAAUCAUUGGGCGUAAAGCGCGUGUAGGCGGUUCGGUAAGUCCGCUGUGAAAGUCGGGGGCUCAACCCUCGAAUGCCGGUGGAUACUGUCGGACUAGAGUACGGAAGAGGCGAGUGGAAUUCCUGGUGUAGCGGUGAAAUGCGCAGAUAUCAGGAGGAACACCUAUUGCGAAGGCAGCUCGCUGGGACGUAACUGACGCUGAGACGCGAAAGCGUGGGGAGCAAACAGG